rnacentral:rRNA from 1 species
UACGGAGGGUGCAAGCGUUAUCCGGAUUCACUGGGUUUAAAGGGUGCGUAGGUGGGCAGUUAAGUCAGUGGUGAAAUCUCCGGGCUUAACCCGGAAACUGCCAUUGAUACUAUCUGUCUUGAAUACCGUGGAGGUGAGCGGAAUAUGUCAUGUAGCGGUGAAAUGCUUAGAUAUGACAUAGAACACCAAUUGCGAAGGCAGCUCACUACGCGAAUAUUGACACUGAGGCACGAAAGCGUGGGGGAUCAAACAGGAU